rnacentral:tRNA from 1 species
GGCGCGUUCGUCUAGUGGUUAGGACGCCGGCCUCUCAAGCCGGUAACACGGGUUCAAAUCCCGUACGCGCUACCA